ACUCAAAGGAAUUGACGGGGGCCCGCACAAGCGGUGGAACAUGUGGUUUAAUUCGACACUACGCGAGGAACCUUACCUAGGCUUGACAUGCAUUUGACCUCUGUAGAAAUAUGGCUUUUCUGGCUUCGGUCAGGACAAAUGCACAGGUGCUGCAUGGCUGUCGUCAGCUCGUGUCGUGAGAUGUUGGGUUAAGUCCUCUAACGAGCGCAACUCCUGUCAUCAGUUGCUAUCCUUUUGGAGCACUCUGAUGAGACUGCCUGGGAAACCAGGAGGAAGGUGGGAAUGACGUCAAGUCCUCAUGGCCCUUAUGCCUAGGGCUACACACGUGUUACAAUGGUCAGUACAAAGGGUUGCUAGCCUGCAAAGGUAUGCCAAUCUCAAAAAGCUGAUCUAAGUUCAGAUUGGGGUCUGCAACUCGACCCCAUGAAGUUGAAAUCGCUAGUAAUCGCGUAUCAGCAACGACGCGGUGAAUACGUUCUCGGGCCUUGUACACACCGCCCGU
rnacentral:rRNA from 1 species